AUGAACAAAGCUAGUGGAGGUGAUGGAAUUCCAGUUGAGCUAUUUCAAAUCCUGAAUGAUGAUGCUCUGAAAGUGCUGCACUCAAUAUGCCAGCAAAUUUGGAAAACUCAGCAGUGGCCGCAGCACUGGAAAAGGUCAGUUUUCAUUCCAAUCCCAAAGAAAGGCAAUGCCAAAGAAUGCUCAAACUACUGCACAAUUGCACUCAUCUCACACGCUAGUAAAGUAAUGCUCAAAAUUCACCAAGCCAGGCUUCAGCAAUACGUGAACCGUGAACUUCCAGACGUUCAAGCUGGUUUUAGAAAAGGCAGAGGAACCAGAGAUCAAAUUGCCAACAUCCACUGGAUCGUAGAAAAAGCAAGAGAGUUCCAAAGAAACAUGUAUUUCUGCUUUAUCGACUAUGCCAAAGCCUUUGACUGUGUGGAUCACAAUAAACUGUGGAAAGUUCUGAAAGAGAUGGGAAUACCAGACCACCUGACCUGCCUCUUGAGAAACCUGUAUGCAGGUCAGGAAGUAACAGUUAGAACUGGACAUGGAACAACAGACUGGUUCCAAAUAGGAAAAGGAGUAUGUCAAGGCUGUAUAUUGUCACCUUGCUUAUUUAACUUCUAUGCAGAGUACAGCAGGAGAAACGCUGGGCUGGAAGAAGCACAAGCUGGAAUCAAGAUUGCCAGGAGAAAUAUCAAUAACCUCAGAUAUGCAGAUGACACCACCUUUAUGGCAGAAAGUGAAGAAGAACUAAAGAGCCUCUUGAUGAAAGUGAAAGAGGAGAGUGAAAAAGUUGGCUUAAAGCUCAACAUUGAGAAAAUGAAGAUCAUGGCAUCUGGUCCCAUCACUUCAUGGGAAAUAGAUAGGGAAACACUGGAAACAGUGUCAGACUUUUUGGGCUCCAAAAUCAUUGCAGAUGGUGAUUGUAGCCCUGAAAUUAAAAGACGCUUACUCCUUGGAAGAAAAGUUAUGACCAAUCUAGAUAGUAUACUGAAAAGCAGAGACAUUACUUUGCCAACAAAGGUCCGUCUAGUCAAGGCUAUGGUUUUUCCUGUGGUUAUGUAUGGAUGUGAAAGUUGGACUGUGAAGAAAGCUGAGCGCUAA
rnacentral:lncRNA from 1 species